rnacentral:lncRNA from 1 species
AAUCAAUACUUGGGUAUUAGAAGAACUGGAGAUGUGUAUUUUAUCUUUCAUUUCCAUGUUUAUCUUCAUCCUUUGCCUUUUCAAGCUACAGACAAAAGCUUCACCAUCCUUAGAGGUUCUGAUAUCCUGCUAAUUAGAAUCUUACCUUAUUCUCUUAGUUUUGAAGAUAUCAAUCCUUUUCAAGCUAACAUAUUCUGGAGAUUGGUACUGAGAGUAAAGAAAAAGAAGGUGAGGAAACAUCAGAUUAAAAAAGUUUGGAAGUGGACACUGGACAUAUUCCUUCAUGAAUCAGGGGACCAGGAGGAGCAAGCAGAGAAAAGUCCAGUGUUCUUCUGGCUUCCCUUUCACUAUUUAUUCUUGGAAUCAGCAAAUGUGCGUUGAGUAAGUACUAGUGUAGGUGCUCCGGGUUAGGUGCUGGGAAUGCAACUUCUAACCAAACAGAGUCUAUCU